UAGGGAAUCUUCGGCAAUGGGGGCAACCCUGACCGAGCAACGCCGCGUGAGUGAAGAAGGUUUUCGGAUCGUAAAGCUCUGUUGUAAGUCAAGAACGGGUGUGAGAGUGGAAAGUUCACACUGUGACGGUAGCUUACCAGAAAGGGACGGCUAACUACGUGCCAGCAGCCGCGGUAAUACGUAGGUCCCGAGCGUUGUCCGGAUUUAUUGGGCGUAAAGCGAGCGCAGGCGGUUUGAUAAGUCUGAAGUUAAAGGCUGUGGCUCACCAUAGUUCGCUUUGGAAACUGUCAAACUUGAGUGCAGAAGGGGAGAGUGGAAUUCCAUGUGUAGCGGUGAAAUGCGUAGAUAUAUGGAGGAACACCGGUGGCGAAAAGCGGCUCUCUGGUCUGUAACUGACGCUGAGGCUCGAAAGCGUGGGGAGCGAACAGGAUUAGAUACCCUGGUAGUCCACGCCGUAAACGAUGAGUGCUAGGUGUUGGAUCCUUUCCGGGAUUCAGUGCCGCAGCUAACGCAUUAAGCACUCCGCCUGGGGAGUACGACCGCAAGGUUGAAACUCUAAAGUGAAUUGAC
rnacentral:rRNA from 1 species